UCAAGAAACUUCCACAAUGGGCGAAAGCCUGAUGGAGCGACGUCGCGUGAUGGACGAAGUGCUUCGGCACGUAAACAUCUUUUAUGUGGGAUGAAAUUAUUGACAGUACCACAUGAAUAAGGGGCUCCUAACUCUGUGCCAGCAGGAGCGGUAAUACAGAGGCCCCAAGCGUUAUCCGGAAUCACUGGGCGUAAAGGGUGUCGAGGCGGUUGUAUUAGUCGUUCGUAAAAUCUACGAGCUUAACUUGUAGGCGGCGAACGAAACGGUACGACUUGAGGUUUGGAGAGGUGCGUGGAACUCACGGUGUAGGGGUGAAAUCCGUUGAUAUCGUGGGGAACACCAAAGGCGAAGGCAGCGCACUGGCCAAAAUCUGACGCUCACACACGAAAGCUAGGGUAGCGAAGAGGAUUAGAUACCCGGUAGUCCCUGAGCGGGCUGGCAAGGCGCAU
rnacentral:rRNA from 1 species